UUCAUUUGGUCAGAAUGGGUCCGGAUCGCAUAGAACAUCACUCACAGCAUGACUCACAGCAUUCGUGGAUUCGAACACUGAACGGAUCACUGGUUUGAUGGAAACGUGUACGUGGCUGCAAGAGAAAAUAGCAAAACCAAAUAAAAUGUGGUUGUCGUGUGAAUAACUUUGGUGUCGUGACUCCCCAUGCUCUCCACUCCAUGCUGUUUCUCAGAAUUCAGGACUGAGCCAGCCAUCUUAACCAAAAGAUGUG